rnacentral:rRNA from 1 species
UACGUAGGGUGCAAGCGUUGUCCGGAAUUAUUGGGCGUAAAGCGCGCGCAGGCGGUGCGGUAAGUCUCUGGUGAAAGCGCUCGGCUUAACUGGGCGAGGGCCGGGGAGACUGCCACGCUGGAGGGGAGCAGAGGCGAGUGGAAUUCCGGGUGUAGUGGUGAAAUGCGUAGAGAUCCGGAGGAACACCAGUGGCGAAGGCGGCUCGCUGGGCUCUACCUGACGCUGAGGCGCGAAAGCGUGGGGAGCGAACCGG